ACGUAGGGGGCAAGCGUUGUCCGGAUUUAUUGGGCGUAAAGGGUGCGUAGGCGGCCCUGUAAGUCAGUGCUGAAAUAUCCCGGCUUAACCGGGAGGGUGGCAUUGAUACUGCGGGGCUAGAGUACAGAUGAGGUAGGCGGAAUUGACGGUGUAGCGGUGAAAUGCUUAGAUAUCGUCAAGAACACCUAUAGCGAAGGCAGCUUACUAGGCUGUAACUGACGCUGAGGCACGAAAGUGUGGGGAUCAAACAGG
rnacentral:rRNA from 1 species